rnacentral:rRNA from 2 species
UUUAAAUGUAAAUUUUUGAACUAAAUUAGUAAUAGAUAUGAUCUUCAAAUUUAAAGAUUUUGGCGGUAUUUUAGUCUAUUCAGAGGAACCUGUUCUGUAAUUGAUAGUCCACGAUUAACUUUACUUAAUUUUAAAAAUUUGUAUAUCGUUGUUUAUAGAAAAUUUUAUAAGAAAAAUAAUUUUUAAUAAAUUUAAUUAAAUUAUAAAUCAAAUCAAGGUGCAGUUUAUAGUUAAGUUAGAAAUGGGUUACAAUAAAUUUAUUUAUUAAUGGAUGUAAAUUUUAAAAUUUUAUUGAAGGUGGAUUUGAUAGUAAUAUUAUUAAGUUAAAUAAUAUGAUUAUAGCUCUAAAAUAUGU